AUGCAAUCUGAGCCCCGAGACCGGCCCGGCCCGUCCGCUCGGCAGCUCUUCCCGCGUCACCUCCUCACCCCGUCCUCCCCUGCCCCGUGCGGAGCGCGAAGGUGCUGCGGGCCGGCUCGGGCUGCGCCGGGAGAGGGGGAGGGACGGGGGCUUCCGACUAUCUCUGCGCCCGGCGGCUUUUCCGGGGCUUUUCGAGCACCCCCGGUUCCCAAGGUCGGCGCGGAGAAUGCUUGGGUGCCCUGGAGCACAGCAGGGGCAAGUGUGGGCGAGAGAGACGAGCGAGCGGGAGCGGGAGAAAGAGGCAGCGAGAGGGCGACUCCGCCGCUCGCUCGGAGGUGGGGGCGGGAGGAGCCGAGGGGAGGAGGAGGAGGAGGAGGAGGAGGAGGCUGGCGGGGGCGGUGGGAGGAGUGGGGAGCUGCGGCUCCUGUUGCUCCGUGCGGCGGGCUGGGGCUGCCCGCGACCCGCCGGGCGCUAAUAAGGCGGCCGGAGCCCCCCGGGCGGCCCCUCCCGCCGCGGCGCCCACGUCACGCGGGGCUGGGGCAGGGGCUGGGGCAGGAGCGGGGGCUGGGGCAGGAGCGGGGGCUGGGGCAGGGGCUGCGGCAGGAGUUGGGGCUGGGGCAGGAGCUGGGGCAGGGGCUGGGGCAGGGGCUGGGGCAGGAGCUGGGGCAGGGACUGGGGCAGGGGCAGGGACUGGUGCAGGAGCUGGGGAUGGGGCAGGAGCUGGGGCUGGGGGCUGGGGCAGGAGCUGGGGCAGGAGCUGGGGAUGGGGCAGGAGCUGGGGCUGGGGCAGGAGCUGGGGCUGGGGCAGGAGCUGAGGCAGGAGCUGGGGCUGGGGCCCGCGCCCCCCGCGCCCUCCGGGCUGGCGGGGCUGGCCGGGGCGGGCGGACGGCGAGGACUGGGAGGCGCGGGCAGGCGCGGGGACGGUCCCGCGGGCGGCGGGCUCCGGGCAGGGUCGCGGUUGCAAGCGCUUGGGCGGGGGCCUGUGCGGGAGGGAGGGGGUCGUGCCCCGGGCCCGGGGCCGCGUCCACCCCCGCGAGAUGGGCCCGGGGAGGGGCGGCCCAGGGAAGCGGCGGUCGGUGCGGGCGGGACGGGUGGGGAGUUCAUCCUGGGAAGGGGGAGGGCCAAGGGCAGCCCCGGGCGUCAGGAACCCACCCCCUGCCACCUCGGGUGCCCCCCAGCCCGGGAAAGGGCCCCCCGGAGAGCCCAGCGACCUCGGGCCUCACCCGCGCGCUCAGCCGCCCCCAGACGCCCACCCGCCCCGCUCCGGUUCUUGCUUACGUUCGCCCGGUUCCUCCUACUUUCGAAAGAUGCCGCGUCCCUUCCUCGACUCGCCCGGACGCUUCGGUUCAUCCCUCGAUGCACGGGCCCCAGCGUCCCUCCUCCCACCGAGGUCGGGCUGUCGGUGACCUGUGCCCGGCGGGGAGGACGCAGGACCCCAGCCUGGGCUCCGGGGCCCUGAGGAUGCGGAGACACGUUGCGGGCAUCCGAGCCCGCGCUCACUCCCCGAGGUGGACCCCCGCGGGCACUUGGCAGGGAGCCGAGGGCUGCAAGAGAAAGUCUUUCCACUCCUGUGACCAGUCUCAGAUCCUCGCUCCAGAACAGACCUGGAGAGGAGGGUGCUGA
rnacentral:lncRNA from 12 species